UUUAGGUGUACAAACGUUGUUCGGACUUUACGAACACAGUUCGGACGUACGUUUGGGAUUUCAAAUAUCUUUUCUACUAUUUAGAAACAGCAACUUUAGGUCAGACUUACAUUUGGGAUUUCAAAUAGCGUAAAUGUAAAUAGAUAAUUCUGCAUGUCUUCUAAGAGGGACACGUGGGCCAAUUACGUUUAGCAAAUCAUGUGUACUACACUUACAUUUAUUUAAUAACUAUAAUCAAUAGCAGUAUUUGUGUCUCAUUCACUGCAUAGAAGACCAUCUUUGUCUAACACCACUGAAGCUAACUCUCAAAGGCCUUUUGCUUCCCUCAAAUCCUCUUAUCCAGCUUGGGAAUCUGUAAGUUUUUUUCACAUUGAGUUUAUUUAGUUCAAUUUCUUCAUACAUUCUUGGUUUAUGAUGGCUAAGGCUUUGAUUAACCAAAGAUUGUAUUUUUAUUUUGAGUUUUUAAGGGUAAAUCUUCCUCUGAUUAAACUCUUCUGAGUGACAUACACUCAAUUAAACUGUUAUCAGAAUGUAAUAAGCCCCUUUUUUCCGCAGCUUCUCUAAAUGUACUGCAACAUUUCCCAUUCACUUUAAGAUCUUCAUAUGAUUUGGGUCCUCUUACGUUCAUUAGAAGUAAUCUAAGAUAAUAUCUUUCUCCUUCUGUCAGAUGACAUGUUACAAUACGUCCAAUAGCUGGACGUUGUUUUCGAUGUGACCACAUUUUGUCAGUUGAUGACCACACAAAAUAUUCAGGAAACUCUUUAUACAGUAAAUUGAGAUUUAUAGCAUCUUUGUUAGUCCUGUUCAUUGUAAAAAAUUCAGUUAACAUUGUUUUGUUAACCAUUGGAUUGUUUAUUAUUUGAUUCACACUUUGGUUACUUUUGAAAGACAUAAAUUGUUGUCACUUUGGUUACUUUUGAAAGACAUAAAUUCUUGUCCUUCAAAAUGUAGCUGAAGGUGGCAAACAGUUGGAGCCAUUUCACUUAUGGAAAAUCUAAACAAACGCCAUGCGGCCUCGGGUGGGGAAACCCAUCUUGCAGAUUGGUAUUCUUUAAUUUCAUUUAUUUCUAUAUUUGUAUCAUUACCAUGCACAGAAAAAGCAAUUUUGUCAUGUCCUUUACAAAUAUAUUUGUAAAUAUAUUUGACAACUUUUAUAUCAGAACAUAUUUCAACAUUGAUAUGACAAUUGAACUUACAGAGUAAAUAUGGAUUGUAUGGAACAACCCAAGAAUUAUCAAUUUUGCGUCCUUUAACUUCGACUUCGACUGGUGUUAUUUUUCGUCUUCGGUAAAGUGGAUAUGAGUUUUUUUCCCUUUGUUGUUUGUUCAACAAUUUCUUUUGGAUAUUUAAACUUACAUUUUCCCUUCUUUUCCAUGCAAGAAUUUGUAGGAUUUAAAUAGCCACAAGGUCCAUGAAUCAUGUGUUUAAUUACAAGUUUAUAUAGAUCAGGGUCUGUGUUGCGAUCAGGUAAUUCAGCACGAACAAUUUUAUCAUAAGCUUGUGGAGUGAGUAAUUUGUAUCUAUCUUUGAGUAUAAUAAGGAAAUGAGCAUGUGGAAGACCGCGUUUCUGAAACACGAUAGUAUACAUAAAAGUUGCAACCUUUCCAAAAAUAUUCUUUUUCUGAAUAUCUGCUUUAAGUUCUUCUACUUUUGCUCUAAAUACUCUACUUAUUAAAUCGGGUCUAUUUUGGAUCUCAUCUGUUGGCAAUAAAUGUUCUUGUAUUUCAGGCCAAGAAGGAUUGCAAGUCAUUGUUAAAAAUAUGUCGGGCUUUCCAAAACGUUGUACCAAUGCAAUAACAUCCAUAUAUCUUCGACGCAUGUCUCUUGGACCUCCUAUAAAACUACCAGAAAGAAAUGUUUUUUUUCCAAUAUUUGAAGCAUCUCUUUCUCCUUGUCUUAAAAGAUCAAUAAUCCCUUGUAGUACUUCAACUCUAAAUAAAUCUUGAUUAAAUAAAAUAAAAUCUAAUCUUUGUAUCUCAAGUUUUAUAUAUUGGUUAACAAUUUACCGUUGAAAUACCCUUCCAGAAUGUAAAGUUUCAUUCGAUUCAUUGCCUCUUAUUUGAAUUUUGUAACAAUAAUAUUCACGGCAAGAAACCGUUUCUCUUUUCUUUUUUCCUUUUGAUAAAACUUCAGAUUCCAUAUCAAGCAGCCCAUCGAUUGAAGUCA